rnacentral:rRNA from 1 species
GAUGAACGCUAGCGACAGGCCUAACACAUGCAAGUCGAGGGGCAGCACAUGAGUAGCAAUACGAUGGUGGCGACCGGCGCACGGGUGAGUAACACGUAUGCAACCUGCCUGUAAGAGGGGAAUAACCCGGAGAAAUUCGGACUAAUACCGCAUAAUACCACGAGACUGCAUGGUUUUGUGGUUAAACAUUUAUGGCUUACAGAUGGGCAUGCGUAUGAUUAGAUAGUUGGUAGGGUAACGGCCUACCAAGUCUACGAUCAUUAGGGGUUCUGAGAGGAAGGUCCCCCACACUGGUACUGAGACACGGACCAGACUCCUACGGGAGGCAGCAGUGAGGAAUAUUGGUCAAUGGGCAGAGCCUGAACCAGCCAAGUCGCGUGAAGGAAGAAGGUUCUAUGGAUUGUAAACUUCUUUUGCAGGGGAAUAAAGGACGGUACGUGUACUGUUUUGUAUGUACCUUGCGAAUAAGGAUCGGCUAACUCCGUGCCAGCAGCCGAC